rnacentral:rRNA from 1 species
GAUGAACGCUGGCGGCGUGCCUAAUACAUGCAAGUCGAGCGAACAGACGAGGAGCUUGCUCCUCUGACGUUAGCGGCGGACGGGUGAGUAACACGUGGAUAACCUACCUAUAAGACUGGGAUAACUUCGGGAAACCGGAGCUAAUACCGGAUAAUAUAUUGAACCGCAUGGUUCAAUAGUGAAAGACGGUUUUGCUGUCACUUAUAGAUGGAUCCGCGCCGCAUUAGCUAGUUGGUAAGGUAACGGCUUACCAAGGCAACGAUGCGUAGCCGACCUGAGAGUGUGAUCGGCCACACUGGAAGUGAGACACGGUCCAGACUCCUACGGGAGGCAGCAGUAGGGAAUCUUCCGCAAUGGGCGAAAGCCUGACGGAGCAACGCCGCGUGAGAGAUGAAGGUCUUCGGAUCGUAAAACUCUGUUAUUAGGGAAGAACAAAUGUGUAAGUAACUAUGCACGUCUUGACGGUACCUAAUCAGAAAGCCACGGCUAACUACGUG